AUUUUGAGAAUAAGAUAACACCCCCACAAGGCACAAACACUACAAGCUAGACUAAAGUUUCGUUCCAUGAAUGAAGCUAUCUCGAAGUCAUGGAAAAAAGUUUGUCUCCUAGAAGCAAAACAAACGGAGGGUGGUUUUCAUGUUGGGGGCGUCUCAAAUUGAAGCUUCCAUGGUCGAAGAGAACAAGCACUUAUAAACCCAUUGGUGGUUUUAACUAUGACCCUUUAAGCUAUGCUCAAAACUUUGACGAGGGAUGGGAGGAGGAUGAUGAAGAAUCUUUACAUCGCGGGUUCUCUGCUAGAUAUGCAGCACCUUCCUCACAUAAUAAAUUGCUCAAGCAAUGAUAGGGUUGAUUGAAGCUUCAUUUAAGGCACCUCGAGAUGAACAAUUCCUUGUUUGACUAAAAUAAUCUCAAGAGUCCAGAGAUUUACUCCAGUUCUUUGUUGAUUCAAGCCUCCACUUGUUGCACCAUAAUAUCUUACCUGAAGAUAAUAAGUUAAUAAUAGAAAGUGAAAAAUAUGUCUACAUAACAUUUUUUUUAAUCUAUUCCUUGAUUAGCUAAUGCAAGGUGGCAACUUCUUGGAAAACAUUUAUGGUCACAAUGAAAGAGCAUGGGCUAACAAAAUGCUUAAGUCAAAUAGCAAGAACAUUAA